rnacentral:lncRNA from 1 species
GGCGAGGGGCGUUUACGUCGUUUUCGACGUCGCGCCGGAUUGGGUUUUGCGUUUGAGGUAGGUUUAUCAUCGAAUUUCUACUCCUAUAGCCUUGUUAGUCAACAUGUAUAGUUAGGAUAUCUGCGUUGGUACUGUUUAGCUCAGAUUCAUGUUUAUGCAUUGUUCUAGACUUAUGUAUUGAAUUGGGAGCAUGUUACUGUUUGUUAUUAAUUAUACAUGUUGGACUUGGAUAAAACAUAGGAGAAAACCAGCAUUCGGGACCUGGCAUAUGUUAAACUACCUGAUUUAGCCCUAGGGCCUGUUGUAUUUUUUAUACUGUUGCAGUAUCCUCAUAGUGAGUAUCCCAGAUAGUUUAGAUUUCAGUUACGCUUGUGCUGGGAUGCCGAGCCGAUUUUUACAGUAGUGUUUACAGUGUUCCGGAUUAGUGGGUGCCGUAGUGGUUGACGGCUGACCCGGAUUUGAUCGUUCCGAUAUCAGAUUGUGCCAAUGGCACGUGACUAGUGGUUGGUAGUACUGUUAGACCUGUUUUCUUGACUUUAGCCUGUGAGAGCCUGAUUGAGCUCGACAGAGAUACGCUUGCAUACUCGGUUGGGUCGCGCCCACGAAUGUCGCUCCGGAAUCUGGCUUUGUACUUUCGUGUUGAUGUCACUGACUAGUUUUGCUAUCCACGGACUGUUUUGCGUGGAGGUAGCGUGGCUUAGACAGGCGGGACGGGUGUAUCACAGUCCCCGGGACGGGUGUAUCACAGUCCCUGAAUAGAUUAAUUGGGUCAGCAUUAAUAUUUUACUACAGAUAAUUAGAGUAGAGCAUGAUAGUAUAGUGAUAUGUAGCUGUAGAUGUUUCCAGCUUUCCUACUAUCCCAGCUCCUUCUGUAGACUUAGUGGGUGGACCGAUGAUUGUUGAGGGCGGCACCCACUGAGGACUACCUGUUUUUACAGUAGUUCUCACGCCCAGUUGUUACCCUGUGUUUUGCAGAGCCUGCUGUUCCGGCUGCUGCGUCUUCAGAGGCAGAUCGAGGUAAGGGCGUCGCGAGUUAGAGCACUACCCGACGAGUUGCUGGGAUAGAGAAUCCACCAUUGCAGGUAGUUCCGGUUUAUUUUUGUUGAGUUCAUGUACAUACAGUUGUUAUAACUGGCUGGAGCGAGUACCUUUGUAUAGCGUUUUGUUGUAUGUAUGUGAGACUUAUUUUAUUCUACCUGUUUGGUUUCUUUACAGUUCUAUACUACUGGUUGUAGUAUUGUAUAUUUUUCGUUACCGAUACGCUUCGUAUACAGGAAAAAUUCUUUGUAUACGGUGGAUUUGUCGACGUGCCCGGAAAUUGUGUAAUCCGGAGCGUGACAUUAAGCAUUAAAUAAUAUUUUAAAUAUAUUAAUUAAAUUAAUUAAUUAUUAAAUAUUAUAAUUAAAAUUACCGAGAACUACUGUUCUUGGAUUU